CCGAAAGGCAAAUCACACGCACGCUCUCUCUCUCUCUCUCGGCAGUGCUCGCCGACUUCUCUCUCUUUCUCUCAUCGGUAAGCCGUAAUCGUAUCUAUCUCUCGAAACCCUUAUAUCGCCGCAGGUGAGAUCGAAGAUGCUCCCUCAAUUUUUCUAAUUUCUAGGGUUUCCUUUCGUUUCGUGCUUCCAUUUAUGGGGUUUCAUUCGCAACCCUAAACAUUUUUUUCAAUCUCCAAUAACCGAGAGAAACUAGAGCUGUAUAACACUACUAAGUUUUCAAAGUAAUUCUUUUUACUACUGUACUGUAUCAUUUCAGACCAAGUUUUGUUUUUAUAAGUUUCUGUGUUGUAUCGUUUGAAUAUGGCGGCUGGAAGGCAUGGGGGUUAUCGCGAAAACGAGUUCAGGGACCGCGAGUCCAACAUUCAAUUGUCAAGGAGGGAUUUUGUUAAAGCCAAGGAAGGGUAUGAUCGAAUUAGGAGUAGUAAUGCUAAUCUUGGCAUGGAAAGGGACCGAGUUCAGGAUAUAAGAGAUAGGGGUAGGGUUAGGCAGAAGGAUAUUAAAGAAAGGGAGGUGAUGAAUGGCGGGUAUCGAUCAGCUUCGAGUAGGAGUGAUUCGGGCAGUAGUGGUGGUGGCGUUGGUGGGCCCAAGCGACGUGGGUUUAUGACUAGGGCCAUUGAUAAGGAACCGGGUGAGUUGUCGAGUGAGUCUGAUGACGCUUUUGACUCUGAAUCACAGAUGAAGGAUCCCAAUGAUUUGCAGGUGAUCGAUAAUGGGGUCCUGUUGCCGCCUCUAGGAAGGAAGAGGAAGUUUUCCCCUAUAAUUUGGGAUAGAGAUGACAAAGAAGUCAAUAACUCGUCGAGAAGUAGGGUGUCUGUGAAAGUUAAGGCUCCUCCUCCCCCUUUUUCACCGGAGGCAUACAGUCAGUCACCAAAUGCUGUUCCAGAUGGGGGUGCACAUAUAUCUCCUAGUAAGAAUAGUAAAGACGAGAAUUUGCUGCAAUCUUCAUCACCAAUAAACCCUCCUGUGGCACCUGGGUCUGGGGGUCAUGCAGUGUCCAAGUCUCCUGUAGGAUUUUCUCCUGUGUUGCCAAGCCAGCAGUGGGGUGAUAAUCUGGAAGAAGUGCAGCUAGAAGAUGAUUAUAUUCCAGCCCGGAACAUAUCAUCUUCAAGAUGGGCAGAUGCAAAGAGCUCUCUCGUUGAUGAAGCUGAAAUUAUAUAUGAUGAAGAAAUUCAUAAAAGGAGAAAGAAAAUGCCUCUUUCCGGGUCAUUGGACGUCAGAGUUUGCAACAAGUCGUUGAGUCCAGAGCUGGGGGAGAUCAGGAGAGAAGGCUUUGAAAGAUCUCGAGUUAAAUCAUUUGAAUCUGAUGAACUUGUCACCCAUGGAAGGUCUUUGAAUCGGGAUUAUUAUGCUGGCAAUGAUCCAGAGAAGGAUGACUUAAUGGAAAUUGCAGAUGAACACGAAAAAAAUUAUAGUAGUGCUAGCCAGUUAAGUACAGAUUCAGGAGAUGAAGAUGAUUCUCGUGGGACACCAGAACCUACACCUACAGCUCCUCCACAAAGAAGUGUAAACAUGCUUCAAGGGUGUAGAAGCGUUGAUGAGUUUGAGAGACUUAAUAGAAUUGAUGAGGGCACUUACGGUGUUGUAUAUAGAGCUAGGGAUAAGAAGAGUGGGGACAUUGUUGCAUUGAAAAAGGUGAAAAUGGAAAAGGAAAAAGAAGGUUUUCCAUUGACUUCUCUGAGGGAAAUAAACAUUCUUCUUUCUCUCCAUCACCCAUCGAUUAUAGAUGUUAAAGAAGUAGUGAUGGGGAGUAACCUCGAUAGUAUAUUUAUGGUGAUGGAGUACAUGGAGCAUGAUCUCAAAGGACUUAUGGAGACAAUGAAACAGCCAUUUAGUCAGAGUGAAGUUAAAUGCCUAAUGCUCCAGCUUUUGGAGGGUGUUAAGUAUCUUCAUGAUAACUGGGUGCUUCAUCGGGAUUUGAAGGCAUCAAAUCUGCUUUUGAAUAACCAGGGUGAGUUGAAGGUUUGUGACUUUGGGUUGGCUCGUCAAUAUGGGAGUCCAUUGAAACCGUAUACUCAUUUGGUGGUUACCCUUUGGUACAGGGCACCUGAACUUCUGUUGGGAGCAAAACAGUAUUCCACAGCAAUCGACAUGUGGUCGUUGGGUUGCAUCAUGGCUGAAUUCUUAUCUAAAGAGCCAUUGUUCAAUGGGAAAACUGAGUUCGAUCAACUUGACAAGAUUUUUAGGAUUCUUGGGACACCAAAUGAGACGAUUUGGCCUGGAUUUUCCAAGCUCCCUGGGGUCAAGGUCAACUUUGUCAAGCAUCAGUAUAAUCUAUUGCGGAAGAAAUUCCCUGCUACAUCAUUCACUGGAUCUCCGGUUCUCUCUGAUUCUGGAUUUGACUUGUUGAACAAACUUCUAACUUAUGACCCUGAGAGGCGAAUUACAGCUGAGGCUGCUCUUAAUCAUGAAUGGUUCCAUGAGGUUCCUCUUCCCAAAUCCAAAGAGUUCAUGCCUACUUUUCCUGCUCAGCAUGCUCAAGACAGGCGUACACGGAGAAUAGUGAAGAGUCCCAAUCCUUUGGAAGAGCAGCGUAUAAAGGAGUUGCUGCAGAGUCAUUUAGGGACCGGAGGUGUGCUUGGCUAAGUUAAUGAAUAUGCAGUGUGGCCUUGAUCUCCCUCCUUUUGCCUUACACAACACCAACUAGUAAAUGAGGUUGAGGCACUAUCAGUGGUUUGGGGAGACACUUGUAUUGCCUCUUCCUGUCAACCAGAUUCAUUGCAGGUUAACCUUGUUGUUCAGCUUUGGUCAUCAUUGCUUACAUUGAAAGGUGUGGCAUAACUGCCUUUUUUAUUAAAAAAAGUUUCAGCUGAAACUUGUGUAUGUAACAUAUAUUUUUUUUAUCAUUGUAAACUCUUUUAAAUUUGUUUUUGUAUAAUAGUAUCAAAUUUCUCCAGCUGUCAGUUCUAUCAUUCUUUCAUCUUUUUUUAAUCAUCACA